UGCUUUGCUUCCAACACUUCUAACACUAAGCCCUGGGCUCUCCCCUUAGUCCAUUCUCAGUGACCACUCCUCUGACACUGUUUUCCCCCUUCUGACACUCUUAAUUGGAUUCUUCCAUGGCCUCAGGGCUUUUCUCCACCCCCAAGUAGCUUUUCAAGGUCUCAAUCCUCUAGCUCCAGCUUUGUCAGUUGACCCUGACACCGCCCACAGAAUACUGAGGACAUUUGCCCAUGGAUGGUUUUCACUGGCUCAGAUACCCUGCCUGGGACAUAAUCUUUGCCCUUCCCACAUUGUCCUUACCUCCUCCUCUACUGUUUCUUACAGGCCGGCCUCCGGCUCUGACUCCUUUUUCAUAUGACCUGGUUUAGCCCGCAAUGCAGAACAUGACCAGGUCUCCUAUAAAGCCAAUCCCAAUCUUUCCGCCUCUAACUUGAGCCAGGUCCAGAAAACACUAUAACAAUGCUGUUUCCAAGAAGACUUUCACUGGUCAUGUUCUCAACAGGGCCCCUCACCUCAGAAAGUAUAGCUUUGAUUCAUUCUCUCAUUCAUUCAAAAACUAAUCACUUAAUUUGUGGCUACGUCAGUAUUCAAAGGAAGGGAAAAUAUAUCCUGCCUACAUGGAGCAGAGAUAAACUGUCCCCAACUGUGCUGUGUCCAAAUAUCUGACUCACAGAAUCCAUGAACAUAACAAAAUGAUUGCAUUAUGUCACUAAGGCUUGGAGAUGAGUUAAAAUCCAGCAAUAGUAAUUAGGAUAGUCUUUUGUCAACUAGUUGAUUCCUACCUGUCUCAGCUUGAACGUAACUUCCUCAGAAAUCCUCUUUAUAUCUAAACAGCUAUUUCCUUCUUUUUUAUUUCAUUUAAUUGUGUGGUUUGUUCAAAAAGGCUGAAGACAAAUAUAUGCCAUGUCUAUGACAUACAGAAGCUACUUUUAAUAGAAACCUAUCCUAUCCUCCCUCUUUAAUAAAUACAGAUAUCAACAUAAUCCUGAUCAUACAUUCUCCAACAUUUUAUUAUGAAAACUUUCUAACAUACAGCAAAGUUGAACAAUUUUACAGUUGACACCCAUAGAUCCACCACUUAGAUCCUACAGUAAAAUUAACAUUUUACUGUAUUUGCUUUAUCUCAAUUCACUUAUUACUCUAUUCAUCCUGUUUCAUUAAUCUUACUAUUUUUUUGGAUGUAUUUCAAAAUAAAUUAUAGGCAUUGGUAUACUGUCCCCUAAACACUUCAGCAUGCAUAUCUUUAACUAGAGUUCAAUAUUUAUUUUUGAGGUAAACUUCACAAUGACAUUCAGAAAUUUCACUGAAUUUUGACAAGUGCAUACACCUGUGUAACCAAAAUCCCUAUCCAGCAUGGCAACUGGACUUUUUACAUGGAAGUCCAGGGCUCCAAAGCAUACAAAAGGAGGGGGAGAUCAGGGGGAUACUGUAUCAUCUUGGCUAAUUUGGUUUAGAAAGUUAAAACAGUAUCAUUUCCUCUGCAUUCUAUUUGUUGAGACAGUCACAAAGUUUUAUCCAGUUUCAAGGAGAAGGGGCAUAGAAUCUACUUUUUGAUGGGAAGUGUGUCAAAUAAUUUGCAGACAAAACAAUAGGUUUUUCAAUAGUCCAGGUGCCAUAGCUUAGGCUGGGGUGAGGGCAGUGGAAGAAUAAGGGGUUAAAUUCCGGAUAGAUUUUAAAGGAAUUGCUAGCCAAAUUGACUGACUGUGGGGUGGGGGAAAGAGGAGUCAGGAAUGGCCACAUGGCUUUUGGCCUGGGCAACUAGAAUAGAGCACAGGAAAACCAGAGUGGCAAGUUAGGGGGAAGAUUGAGAGCUCAGUUUAAGACCUGUGAACUUUGAGACAGUAGGCAUUGGCAUGGAAAUGGUGAGGAAUGGAACAGGUGGCGGAAUACAGGAACCUGAGGUUCAGUGGCCCGGUCUAGGGUGAAGAUUGGAAUUUGGGGACUAUUAGAAUAGAGAUGGGCUAGAGAUGCCUGAGAAUGAGUACAGAUAGUUAAAGGCAAGGACCUGGGACAUGCAAGGUGACAGGUUGGAGCAAUGACAAGGUGUGACCAGAGAGGGUGUGGACUGAGGAUUGACCAUUGCCCAGCACUCUGAUGACCCCCAUUAGUUUCAUACCCAAAGGACAGCCCUUUGGUCUCGGCUGAGACAGGAGGAUCCACUCGGAGUUGAGAGUCAGCUAAGUGAUUGGCUCAAAGAUGAACGAAUGAGAGUAAGCCCUGGUGCUCUGGAAGGAACUAUUGGAAAAUCCUCCUCUUUCCGCUAAACUAACUAUGUAAGUUAGAAACCUAGAGCGAACUAAGGCUAUCUUCGUGACUUCACGGGGAAAGCCUGCCUGAGAUUGAACCCAACAAAGAGGAACAGAGAUUCAAGAGAGUUGAGUUCCUCUUAAUACUGUCCAAACACCUGGAUCCAGCCAUGCCUGAGAGCAUUUGGAUUUCUUGAUUGUAUUAGCCAACAAAUCCUUCUUUUUUGUUUAAGCUUCCUUGAACUGGGAUGGACUCUAAGUCUAUCCCAGGGCUGGAGCUGUCAGUUCAGGUACAGAGGGAAGGAAGUGGAUGAGGAUGUCACC